rnacentral:rRNA from 1 species
GACGAACGCUGGCGGCGUGCCUAAUACAUGCAAGUCGAACGAACCGCGACUGAGUGCUUGCACUUGGUCAAGGUGAGUGGCGAACGGGUGAGUAACACGUGGGUAACCUACCUCAUAGUGGGGGAUAACAGUCGGAAACGACUGCUAAUACCGCAUAGGACAUAGGAUCACAUGAUCCAGUGAGGAAAGGUGGCGCAAGCUAUCGCUAAGAGAUGGACCCGCGGUGCAUUAGCUAGUUGGUAGGGUAAAGGCCUACCAAGGCGAUGAUGCAUAGCCGACCUGAGAGGGUGAUCGGCCACAUUGGGACUGAGACACGGCCCAAACUCCUACGGGAGGCAGCAGUAGGGAAUCUUCCGCAAUGGACGCAAGUCUGACGGGGCAACGCCGCGUGAGUGAAGAAGGUCUUCGGAUCGUAAAGCUCUGUUGUUAGAGAAGAACAGCGCAUAGAGUAACUGCUAUGCGUGUGACGGUAUCUAACCAGAAAGCCACGGCUAACUACGUG